GAAUGUGAGGGCAAUCUGACUGUAACAUCUGUCACCUCAGUGAUCUUCAGGGUUGAUUAGGUUGAUGUGGCCAGCUAGGCCGGCAUCUCCUUUCUCCAGCACUGCUCUGUACACACCCCUUCCCAAGCUUCACACCAAAGAGGAGAACUGUUGUUGGGUAUACACACAUCUGCGCUCUCCAUAGAAUCUCCAAGCAAGUUCUUAAAGAACAGGAGACGAUAGGAUUUUCCAAGCCCCGUUUAUGCUCUGUGUUGGAGCUCCCUGGC
rnacentral:snRNA from 1 species